UCCUGCACUGGGACAGCAGCAGCACAUACCCAGUAAUUCUUCCCUCACCCUGUCAGGAUCACCUCACAGUGUAGAGCUCUGAAGUUUAAGAAGGUAUUUUCUGUCAAGUGAAAGAACUCAAACAUGGUGUUCUCCAGACUUCUGAAGGUGGUCAUGGCUUCAAUGUGGCUAGGAUCCAGUAUUGCCCAGAAGGUAACUCAAGCCCAACCAGCAAUGUUAGUGCAGGAGAAGGAGGCUGUGACCCUGAACUGCAGAUAUGAUGCCAGUGAUGGAAGUUAUAGUCUAUUCUGGUACAAGCAGCCCAGUAGUGGAGUGAUGAUGUUUCUUAUUCGCCAGGAUUCUUAUAACCAGCAAAGUGCCACAGAAGGUCACUACUCAUUGAAUUUCCAGAAGGCAAACAAGUCCAUCAAGCUAGUCAUCUCAGCUUCACAGACAGAAGACUCUGCAGUGUAUUUCUGUUCACUGAGGGAGACCACAGUGAGAGGUGUGCUGGAGGGAGGUGUACCAAAACCCCAGGGCUCUGCUUGA